GUGCUUGUUUCAGCAGCACAUAUAUUAAAACUGGAAAAAAAAAAUAGAGUAUUAGCAAGGCUGCUGCACAAAAAUGGCAAAUUCACAAAGUGUCCCAUAUCUUU
rnacentral:snRNA from 1 species